rnacentral:snoRNA from 1 species
CUGAGUCUGUGAUGAUGUGAGUUAUCCCUGUCUGAAGGUGCUCAGAAAGGCCUUUGUGUGGAAUUUGGAUGUCUGAGACUCAG